GAAAAUUGAACGAAACAAGACAAAUGCAACUCUAUUUCAAUUGAAUAUGAUUUAAAUUUCAUCGAACUGAAUAAGUACUUUAGGUAGGACCUUGGGCCUAAGGAGGAUAAAAAAGCGCUGGUAGACUCAGACAUGUAAAAUUAGUUUGUAUUAGUUUUAAGUUGAAAUGUUAUAAAAGAUGACCUUCUGCAGAGUUUCUUGCGGCGUUUCUUCUCUAAGCAAUGGGUCCUUUCCGAAGCGCUGGUAGAUUAAAAAUGACAUGUAAAGUUAUGAAUAAAUAAAGAAUAAAACUUAA